CAGUAGCCACGGGAAUACAGAGGGUGCGAGCGUUAAUCGGAUUUACUGGGCGUAAAGCGUGCGUAGGCGGCUUUUUAAGUCGGAUGUGAAAUCCCUGAGCUUAACUUAGGAAUUGCAUUCGAUACUGGGAAGCUAGAGUAUGGGAGAGGAUGGUAGAAUUCCAGGUGUAGCGGUGAAAUGCGUAGAGAUCUGGAGGAAUACCGGUGGCGAAGGCGGCCCCCUGGACAAAGACUGACGCUCAGGUGCGAAAGCGUGGGGAGCAAACAGGAUUAGAUACCCCGGUAGUCCCUGUCUCUUAUAA
rnacentral:rRNA from 1 species